rnacentral:tRNA from 1 species
GGGGGUGUGGCUCAAGUGGAAGAGCACCUGCCUAGCAAGUGCGAGACUCCGAGUUCAAACCUCAGUACUACCA